rnacentral:rRNA from 1 species
AUCCAGACUCCUACGGGAGGCAGCAGUGAGGAAUAUUGGUCAAUGGCCGAGAGGCUGAACCAGCCAAGUCGCGUGAGGGAAGACGGCCCUACGGGUUGUAAACCUCUUUUGUCGGGGAGCAAAAGCCGGACGUGUCCGGCUGUGAGAGUACCCGAAGAAAAAGCAUCGGCUAACUCCGUGCCAGCAGCCGCGGUAAUACGGAGGAUGCGAGCGUUAUCCGGAUUUAUUGGGUUUAAAGGGUGCGCAGGCGGAUUUUUAAGUCAGCGGUAAAAUCGUGGGGCUCAACCCCAUCCAGCCGUUGAAACUGGGGAUCUAGAGUGUGCGAGAAGUAUGCGGAAUGCGUGGUGUAGCGGUGAAAUGCAUAGAUAUCACGCAGAACUCCGAUUGCGAAGGCAGCAUACCGGCGCCCAACUGACGCUGAAGCACGAAAGCGUGGGUAUCGAACAGGAUUAGAUACCCUAGUA